GGAUGUGAGGGCGAUCUGGCUGGGCUAUGUCACCCCACUGAUCGCCAGGGAUGAUUUGCCUGAUCUGGCUGGCUAAGGCGGGUGUCCCCUUCCUCCCUCACCGCCCCAUGUGCAUCCCUCCCCCACCAGAAGCUGCCCGCUCAGUUGCUCAGCCAUAGAGGAUGACCUUUGCCAAUAGAGGAAGACUGUUCUUCCAUCAAGGGUAUAUGAGUAGCUGUGCUCUCCUGCUGGGACCUCCACACAGGCUCUCAAAAGUCAACUGAUGGUUCAUAAAAGGGAAACACCACUGAUAAUUUGUAAAAUGGAAACACAUUUGAAAACUAGCAACUCACAUUCUUAUGUUUGUUUAUAUU
rnacentral:snRNA from 1 species